GCUUUAAUAGUUUAAUUAAAAAAAUAAUGAUCUUGUAAAUCAUAGAUAAGUACAUCACUUUUAAAGCA
rnacentral:tRNA from 1 species